rnacentral:rRNA from 1 species
UACGAAGGUCCCAAGCGUUAUCCGGAUUUAUUGGGUUUAAAGGGUGCGUAGGCGGGUUAUUAGGUCAGUGGUGAAAGCCUUCAGCUUAACUGAAGAACUGCCAUUGAUACUGAUGAUCUUGAGUAUGAUUGAGGUGGGCGGAAUGUGUCAUGUAGCGGUGAAAUGCUUAGAUAUGACACAGAACACCGAUUGCGAAGGCAGCUCACUAAGUCAUAACUGACGCUGAUGCACGAAAGCGUGGGGAGCAAACAGG